GGCUCUGUGUGUAUGUGUGUGUGUGUGUGUGUGUGUCUGCACUUGUGACACACAAGUGCAGACACACACACACACACACACACACACA
rnacentral:pre_miRNA from 1 species